UACGAAGGGGGCUAGCGUUGCUCGGAGUUACUGGGCGUAAAGGGUGUGUAGGCGGUUGUUUAAGUUUGGUGUGAAAUCUCCCGGCUCAACUGGGAGGGUGCGCCGAAUACUGAAUGACUUGGAGUGCGGGAGAGGUGAGUGGAAUUCCUGGUGUAGCGGUGAAAUGCGUAGAUAUCAGGAGGAACACCGGUGGUGUAGACGGCUCACUGGACCGUAACUGACGCUGAGACACGAAAGCGUGGGUAGCAAACAGG
rnacentral:rRNA from 1 species